UGAGGAAUAUUGGUCAAUGGGCGAGAGCCUGAACCAGCCAAGUAGCGUGCAGGAUGACGGCCCUAUGGGUUGUAAACUGCUUUUAUAUGGGAAUAAAGUGAGGGACGUGUCCCUUAUUGCAUGUACCAUAUGAAUAAGGACCGGCUAAUUCCGUGCCAGCAGCCGCGGUAAUACGGAAGGUUCGGGCGUUAUCCGGAUUUAUUGGGUUUAAAGGGAGCGUAGGCCGUUUGGUAAGCGUGUUGUGAAAUGUAGGAGCUCAACUUCUAGAUUGCAGCGCGAACUGUCAGACUUGAGUGCGCACAACGUAGGCGGAAUUCAUGGUGUAGCGGUGAAAUGCUUAGAUAUCAUGAAGAACUCCGAUUGCGAAGGCAGCUUACGGGAGCGCAACUGACGCUGAAGCUCGAAGGUGCGGGUAUCGAACAGG
rnacentral:rRNA from 1 species